GACGAACGCUGGCGGCGUGCCUAAUACAUGCAAGUAGAACGCAGUUGCGAACGGGUGAGUAACGCGUAGGUAACUGCCUCAUAGCGGGGGAUAACUCUUGGAAACGAUAGCUAAUACCGCAUACUGUGAGAUGGACCUGCGUUGUAUUUGCUAGUUGGUGAGGUAAAGGCGCACCAAGGCGACGAUACAUAGCCGACCUGAGAGGGUGAUCGGCAACACCGUGUCUGAGAGUCGUCUCAGACGACUUCGGGAGGCAGCAGUAGGGAAUCUUCGGAAAAGGACGGUAGUCUGACCGAGCAACGCCGUGUGAGUUGAGAAGGUGUACGGAUCGUAAAGCUCUGUUGUUAGAGAAGCGGUAACUAAGCAGAAAGGGACGGCUAACUACGUGCCAGCCGCCGCGGUAAUAC
rnacentral:rRNA from 1 species